rnacentral:rRNA from 1 species
AGUGAACGCUGGCGGUAGGCCUAACACAUGCAAGUCGAACGGCAGCACAGUAAGAGCUUGCUCUUACGGGUGGCGAGUGGCGGACGGGUGAGGAAUACAUCGGAAUCUACUUUUUCGUGGGGGAUAACGUAGGGAAACUUACGCUAAUACCGCAUACGACCUACGGGUGAAAGCAGUGGAUCUUCGGACCUUGCGCGAUUGAAUGAGCCGAUGUCGGAUUAGCUAGUUGGCGGGGUAAAGGCCCACCAAGGCGACGAUCCGUAGCUGGUCUGAGAGGAUGAUCAGCCACACUGGAACUGAGACACGGUCCAGACUCCUACGGGAGGCAGCAGUGGGGAAUAUUGGAAAAUGGGCGAAAGCCUGAUCCAGCAAUACCGCGUGGGUGAAGAAGGCCUUCGGGUUGUAAAGCCCUUUUGUUGGGAAAGAAAAGAAGCAGGUUAAUACCCCGCUGUUCUGACGGUACCCAAAGAAUAAGCACCGGCUAACUUCGUG